rnacentral:lncRNA from 1 species
AUGAGGGUGCGGGGCCCUGCGCGGCCACCUGACCUCCCGAGCGCUGAGCCGACGCCGCCCAUCUGCCUCUGCCCGCGCCUGUUUCAGCUGUUAAACACGCCCAUUUCUUCCCUUAAGAAGGAGGCUGCAAGGUGUUCUGUUUUGAAAAUGAUAAAAAAUGGCACUAAUGCUACUAAUGCUCUCUGGAUUGUAACUGCGCGAGAUCCUGUGGCAUCUGACCGUGACCACCUUUCUUUUCACGAUGUUCCCAAAGAGCCUGCAGAACUGUGGAAAUUGGAGAAUUGUAUUUCCCUCUUGGAAAUGUGGACACGAGAAAGAGAGGCUGAGCCCCGUGCUGGUGUGCAGAGUGCUGAGGCCAAGAGCACGAUGGUUACAUGUGAGGUGGUAUUAUGGCAACACCAACUGGGAGACACGGAGAAGACGGUUGGCGAAGAGCCGAGGGAGUCCUGAAAGAGAUUGCCAGCAGGAGAAAAUUAACUCAGCUCUCGUGGCCUUCCAGCUCCCAAGGCCAGUGUGCAUGAGGCUGACCCUUGUCUUCUUGAAAUGAAGUGUAACUCUUUCAAAGUAGGAAGCUGGGAAUUUUCUCCACUAGACUCAAGGAGGAAAAUGAAAAGGCAGGAAAUAAGAACUGGGAGAUUUCUUGAGAGUAGAUAUUCUGCUAAGGUCGCUGCCUUAUAAGGGAGUCCUUGACCUGGGGUCCAUGAACUGAUGGGCUGCUGGGAGUGGUGAGCUCCUCAGAAGCUCAGGUAGACGUUUAUGGGCGUUUGUGCAUAACUGCAUUUUAUAGAGGAUAAGAUCUACAAGUUUUAUUCUCAAAGGGACCCACGAACCUAACAAUUAAAAACAACCACCCUAUGAGAAUAGAACAUUUCAAGAACAUCUAUCUUUCCAAACCCUAGGUAGGAAUUUAAAUAUUUUUAAAAUAAUAAUGACUACAUUAAUCCUACAGAGAGAGAGAUCAGUGUGUUCAGUGCAAAUUUUAAGUGAUGUGUGUGUAUUCUGUGUUUACGUGUGUGCGUUUACUGGACCUCAGGCUGGCUUUACAAUUUGUAUGGAAGAAUAAUAGUGGCUGUUGGAGUCACGUAACUCUCACAUACUUUGGUGGGCAUGUAAUUUGAUACGACCAUGUCGUAAAACUGUUUUGCAUUAUCUACUAAAAUUAUAGUGAGCAGCAUGGGGUGCGCAUGUGCAUCGAAGAGUGUUCACAGCCGCGUUAUUCUUAAUAGUCAGCAAGUGUGAUGACCUCGCACAGUGGGCUGGAUAAACAAACUGUGGCAGUCAUAAAAUGGGAUUCUAUGCAGCAAAGAAAGUGAAUGAAAUACAGCUACAUAGAACAAUAUGUAUGUAGGAAACUCAUAAACAUAAUAUUGAAUGAAAGAAAGGAGACACAAAAGGAAACCCACUGACCAGUUCCAAAGGUAAUCUGAGGCGUUAGAAGUGAGGAUGGGGCCACCUCUGGAGCAUAAGCAGGCUUCUGGGGGUGGCAUGUCCUAUUUCUUGGUGGGUACUUGGGUAUGUGCACUUUGUGAUAAUUCAGCAAGCUUUACAUUUACGGUUUGUUUUCUUUUAUCUCUAAAUUUUACACUCUAAUUAAAAAAAUAUUUCUGCUUUUAUAUCUGCAAACACAUACGUACUGCAUUACAUUUAAAUGUCAAAGGUCUUGCAUGCACAAUACAAAAAGAAUUGCUACAAACAUAAAACACAGAAAAUUGGCAAAAUAAAUGAAAAGGGAUUUGACA